GGGGAUGUAGCUCAGCGGUUCCGCCGCCUGCCUCGCAAGCAUGAGGUCCCGAGUUCGAUCCCCGGUACCCCCA
rnacentral:tRNA from 1 species